CCUACGGGUGGCUGCAGCUAAGAAUCUUGCGCAAUGGGCGAAAGCCUGACGCAGCAACGCCGCGUGGGGGACGAAGGCCCUCGGGUCGUAAACCCCUUUUGCGAGGGAAGAAGUUCUGACGGUACCUCGCGAAUAAGCCACGGCUAACUACGUGCCAGCAGCCGCGGUAAUACGUAGGUGGCGAGCGUUGUCCGGAUUUAUUGGGCGUAAAGCGCCCGCAGGCGGCUUGGUAAGUUUCAGGUGAAAUCUCCCGGCUCAACUGGGAGGGUGCCUGGAAAACUAUCAGGCUUGAGGCAGGGAGAGGGAUGUGGAAUUCCCGGUGUAGUGGUGAAAUGCGUAGAUAUCGGGAGGAACACCAGUGGCGAAGGCGGCAUCCUGGCCCUGUCCUGACGCUCAGGGGCGAAAGCGUGGGGAGCAAACCGGAUUAGAUACCCGAGUAGUC
rnacentral:rRNA from 1 species